AUUGAACGCUGGCGGCAGGCCUAACACAUGCAAGUCGAGCGGAUGAAGGGAGCUUGCUCCUGGAUUCAGCGGCGGACGGGUGAGUAAUGCCUAGGAAUCUGCCUGGUCGUGGGGGAUAACGUCCGGAAACGGGCGCUAAUACCGCAUACGUCCUGAGGGAGAAAGUGGGGGAUCUUCGGACCUCACGCUAUCAGAUGAGCCUAGGUCGGAUUAGCUAGUUGGUGGGGUAAAGGCCUACCAAGGCGACGAUCCGUAACUGGUCUGAGAGGAUGAUCAGUCACACUGGAACUGAGACACGGUCCAGACUCCUACGGGAGGCAGCAGUGGGGAAUAUUGGACAAUGGGCGAAAGCCUGAUCCAGCCAUGCCGCGUGUGUGAAGAAGGUCCUCGGAUUGUAAAGCACUUUAAGUUGGGAGGAAGGGCAGUAAGUUAAUACCUUGCUGUUUUGACGUUACCAACAGAAUAAGCACCGGCUAACUUCGUG
rnacentral:rRNA from 1 species